CAACCUGGUUCAGCUCAACAAAGCCUACACCCAGGAAAUUCAGGAGAAAAGCUGCAUUUUCAGGAGUUAAGCGCUGGCAUUGUACUCAUUCUUCAAUGUGACCAGAUUGUGCCUGAGUCUGUAAUGAGAAGGACAGGCUGACAAAGAAGUGAGCUACCAGAGAAGAAGCAACACCCAGAUUGGGACCUGCCUCAGACCUCAGAGGAGUUUGGAUGCAUCUCCUCUGAGGAUGGGAAAAAUCAACCUAUUUCAGGAAGCCUUCCUUGAUUACCACCUGCAUCGUUUGCCUCUGCUCUGCAAGCCCUCAUCAUUCACCGGUUCAGGUUAUUCCUGGAUGUGGCUCUGGCAGCACGUGUUACAGAUUUCCCAGACUGUGAUCAUUCCCAAGGAGAGGCUCUUUGGAAUCUCCCCUAGUUCUCCCUCCAGUAUCUGUACCACCUCAGCCAAUGUCUCUGGGACACGUGUGUGGUGAAGGGGAAGGCAGGAUGCUCUUAGAAUCAUCUACACAGACUUCAGAGAAAUGUUGCUGAGAAGUAGCUUGUAAUAUGGGCUCUCCACGUGGCUCAGUGGUAAAGAAUCCACCUGCACUGCACGAGAUGUGAGUUCGAUCCCUGGGUUGGGAAGAUCCCCUGGAGAAGGAAAUGGCAACCCA